rnacentral:snoRNA from 1 species
AUUCGGCAUGAUAACUAGACGACGGUCUCAAUCUCCCAACGACUCCAGUCUUUUAAGUUGCCGAUAGAUAAACUUGCGAGGAUCUUACACGUUCUCUGAAAUCCCCAUGUGGUCUUCGUUUAAUCUUUCGCAACAUUC